rnacentral:rRNA from 1 species
UACGAAGGGGGCUAGCGUUGUUCGGAUUUACUGGGCGUAAAGCGCACGUAGGCGGACUAUUAAGUCAGGGGGUGAAAUCCCGGGGCUCAACCCCGGAACUGCCUUUGAUACUGGUAGUCUUGAGUUCGAGAGAGGUGAGUGGAAUUCCGAGUGUAGAGGUGAAAAUUCGUAGAUAUUCGGAGGAACACCAGUGGCGAAGGCGGCUCACUGGCUCGAUACUGACGCUGAGGUGCGAAAGCGUGGGGAGCAAACAGG